GCCUGGCUGGCUCAGUCGGUAGAGCACGAGACUCUUGGUCUCGGGGUCGUGAGUUCGAGUCCCAUGUGUGGCA